GGCUUAACACAUGCAAGUCGAGGGGCAGCAUUUCAGUUUGCUUGCAAACUGGAGAUGGCGACCGGCGCACGGGUGAGUAACACGUAUCCAACCUGCCGAUAACUCGGGGAUAGCCUUUCGAAAGAAAGAUUAAUACCCGAUGGUAUAAUUAGACCGCAUGGUCUUGUUAUUAAAGAAUUUCGGUUAUCGAUGGGGAUGCGUUCCAUUAGGCAGUUGGUGAGGUAACGGCUCACCAAACCUUCGAUGGAUAGGGGUUCUGAGAGGAAGGUCCCCCACAUUGGAACUGAGACACGGUCCAAACUCCUACGGGAGGCAGCAGUGAGGAAUAUUGGUCAAUGGGCGCAGGCCUGAACCAGCCAAGUAGCGUGAAGGAUGACUGCCCUAUGGGUUGUAAACUUCUUUUAUAUGGGAAUAAAGUUUUCCACGUGUGGAAUUUUGUAUGUACCAUAUGAAUAAGGAUCGGCUAACUCCGUGCCAGCAGCCGCGGUAAUACGGAGGAUCCGAGCGUUAUCCGGAUUUAUUGGGUUUAAAGGGAGCGUAGGUGGACAGUUAAGUCAGUUGUGAAAGUUUGCGGCUCAACCGUAAAAUUGCAGUUGAUACUGGCUGUCUUGAGUACAGUAGAGGUGGGCGGAAUUCGUGGUGUAGCGGUGAAAUGCUUAGAUAUCACGAAGAACUCCGAUUGCGAAGGCAGCUCACUGGACUGCAACUGACACUGAUGCUCGAAAGUGUGGGUAUCAAACAGGAUUAGAUACCCUGGUAGUCCACACAGUAAACGAUGAAUACUCGCUGUUUGCGAUAUACAGUAAGCGGCCAAGCGAAAGCAUUAAGUAUUCCACCUGGGGAGUACGCCGGCAACGGUGAAACUCAAAGGAAUUGACGGGGGCCCGCACAAGCGGANGAACAUGUGGUUUAAUUCGAUGAUACGCGAGGAACCUUACCCGGGCUUAAAUUGCAUUUGAUAUA
rnacentral:rRNA from 1 species